rnacentral:rRNA from 1 species
UACGAAGGGGGCUAGCGUUGCUCGGAAUCACUGGGCGUAAAGCGCGUGUAGGCGGCCAGGCAGGUCCGUUGUGAAAACUGGAGGCUCAACUUCCAGACGUCGAUGGAAACCGCCUGGCUAGAGUCCGGAAGAGGAGAGUGGAAUUCCUGGUGUAGCGGUGAAAUGCGCAGAUAUCAGGAAGAACACCAAUGGCGAAGGCAGCUCUCUGGGACGGUACUGACGCUGAGACGCGAAAGCGUGGGGAGCGAACAGG